ensembl:antisense Gm10863 predicted gene 10863
CCGCCUUGGAUGGACAGAGGGACGGAGCAGCAAGCAUCCGGCCUCCCCGGCUUCCCUGCAGCGGUCUCCAACUGCUGUCUGCCCGCUGCCCGCCUGCCUGGCAUCUCUCUCCCGAGUGAAGAUGCCCUAAGUCCAGAGCAGGGUCUGUGGGACAGGCCUAGGAGGUGUGCAUGCAUACCACAGGAGCUGUGCUUCACUCGGAGUGACCAACCGAAGCUUAUGCCUGCCCACCCCAGGAUGGAAGCCUGGCCUGUAAGAGUUUUUGAUAGUGAAUCAGGAUAAAUCACAGAAACUCGUGUCUCAUAACCCCAGGGAAGCAGAGGCUGCAGUGCUUCCUAUAUGGCAAGCCAGGGACUGAAACUUACGAUUUGACUGGACAAUCUAUAAGGUGCUAGCUGCAUUCCUGGCCUGGGAGCAGGGAGCCUGUCUGACCCCUGUGUCACACUGGAUGGUUUUACAGAGGUGCCCCACCUGAUGCUGGAUGGAAGUCAUCACCCUACAGUGUGGGUAUCAAGGGGGGAGCAAGGGGGCUAGGAAGCUCCAGAGGGAUUAGGUGGUCUCCAGUCACUCCCCUCUGUGUGAACCCUGCUGCUCUUCCACUCUGGAGCUGGAAAGCUGUCAGCUGCCACGCCAUGGUGCCAAGCACAUAGUAGGACUUCAAGCAUGUUUGCCCUGUACUUGUCUGCUCUUGACUGACUUCAAAGCCUUGUCCCCCAACUACCCACACGGCCACCUUACUCAACAGAAAUAUUCCUGUGAUAGAGACAGAAGGGCCC